rnacentral:rRNA from 1 species
GUUUGAUCCUGGCUCAGACACGCUGGCGGCAUGCCUAACACAUGCAAGUCGAACGAGACCUUCGGGUCUAGUGGCGCACGGGUGCGUAACGCGUGGGAAUCUGCCCUUCGGUUCGGAAUAACUCAGGGAAACUUGAGCUAAUACCGGAUAAUGACGUAAGUCCAAAGAUUUAUCGCCGAAGGAUGAGCCCGCGUAGGAUUAGCUUGUUGGUGGGGUAAUGGCCCACCAAGGCGACGAUCCUUAGCUGGUCUGAGAGGAUGAUCAGCCACACUGGGACUGAGACACGGCCCAGACUCCUACGGGAGGCAGCAGUGGGGAAUAUUGGACAAUGGGCGAAAGCCUGAUCCAGCAAUGCCGCGUGAGUGAUGAAGGCCUUAGGGUUGUAAAGCUCUUUUACCCGGGAUGAUAAUGACAGUACCGGGAGAAUAAGCUCCGGCUAACUCCGUG